AAAUUGCCACAAGCACUCCAGCCUAUGGCGACCAUCACCUCCUGAUCAGUCAGCAGCCAUUAAUAUUGAGUGGUCUGGAACUGAACCUGCAAUAUCUCCAAAGUACGCCUGUACUUAGAAUCAGUCUUGGCAUUUCAGGGCAUUGUGAAUCUUCAUUUAGGUUUAGGAGCAAGAUAAUGGAAUAGAAGCCUACAACAUUUGCUCUCCGACCCCACUGGAAAACCAAAUGACUCUUGGGUUUCCUGACACCAGGCCUAGGUGGUGGGACAGCAUUUCUGGACCUGCCCUGGGAAAGAAGGGAGCUUAACAGUCCUGAAAGGACAGACUAGUUCUCCGUCCCUUGCAGCUCAUGGGCUGAGUUCUGACCAAUGGGAUGUAGACAGAGAUGAUGCGCAAUCUUGAAAGGAUAUUACUCUGUCGCCCAAGCUGAAGUGCAGCGGCAUGACCAUAGCUCAUUGCAGUCUCAACCUCCUGGGUUCAAGUCAUCCCCGUGCCUCAGCCUCCCAAGUAGCUGGGACUGCAGGUGUGUGCCACCACUCCCAGCUAAUCUUUUAUUUUUUGUAGAGGUGGAGUCUCACUAUAUUGUCUAGGCUGAUCUCGAAUUCCUGGGCUCAAGCAAUCCUGCCACCUAGGCCUCCCCAAUUCUGGGAUUACAGACCUGCAAGAUAAGGUUGAAUAGUUGUGUACAGCAUCCUCGCCUCAAAUGGAGAUCUUUCAAAGUGUCACUCUUUAGCAGGAAAGAUUUCUUGCAACCUCAUGAAAGACCUUGACCAGCCAUGACUACCCAUCUAACAUGCUGUCUAAUUCCUGACCUAUGGACACUGAUUUCAAAGAGAGGCUGUUUGCUUGACUGAAGGAAGUGCCUUUUGACAGAAGAUGCAAUUUAUGUUAUAUGAAUGAUAUUUCUGAUGGCCAAAAGGACCUGUGAUAGCCUGAGAGUCAAAGACAAGCAGGAACGCAUCUGUAGUCAAACAAGGUCAGGUUUAUUUAGUGGACUGCAUCAAAUAAGAACACCCCCAAAUAGGAACUUGGGGCACCUCAGUAAUGGAGAUUUCACAGGAGUUGUUUAUAUGUUUGUGCUUGUGCUUGAUAUUCCCAAGGCAGAUAUGGAAUGAAUCCUGGCUUGGAUUGGUUCUUGUCAACAAGGAGGAGCAGGUUAGCAAUCAGAUUCUCGGUAUUCAUUGUUCAGGUGGUGCUGUAUGUCCCCUCCAAAAGCAUGUUGAAAUUUAAUUGCCAAUAUAAUUGUAUUGUGAGGUAGGACCUUUAAGAGGGGUUUGGCUCAUUGAAGCUCCACCCUCAUGAAUAGAUUAAUGUCAUUAUCGUGGGAGUGGGAUUGUUAUCAUGGGAAUGGGCUCCUGAUAAAAGAGUGGUUUCUGCCUGAUCUCCUCUUUCCCUCUCUCGCAUGCUCACUUGCCCUUCCACCAUAUUAUGAUGCAGCAGGAGGGCCCUCACCAGAUGCUGAUAACAUUUUUUUAACUUCUCAGCCCUCAAAACUGUGAAGAAUAAUUUCUUUCUUUUAUACAUCACCUAGUCUGUGCUAUUCUGUUAUAGCAGAAGACAAUAAACUAAGACAGACAUCGGGAAAACAACACGGGCUUGGGGACAUCAUUUAUAAGAAAGUGAUAAUCACUCAGAGAAAAAAAUGAUUAGUCAUAUUUUCAGCUAUAGUGUGGCCUUUUGUAUAAGCACUGUAUACAAAAAUGCUAUAUCCCAUUGGAAGCAUUUUUUUUUUUUUUUGAGAAGGAGUCUCACUCUGUAACUCAGGCUAGAGUGCAGUGGCACGAUCUCGGCUCACUGCAACCUCCUCCUCCUGGGGUCAAGCGAUUCUCCUGCCUCAGCCUCCCGAGUAGCUGGGACUACAGGUGUGCACCACCGGGCCCAGGUAAUUUUUUUGUAUUUUUGGUAGAGACAGGAUUUUACCAUGUUGGCCAGGCUGGUCUCGAACUCCUGACCUUUUCACUUUCUCAAAAAGAAUAUUGUGACACAACCAUGAAGUGAAGAGUUCUAAGAUCCAACAUAGUCUCACUGAGUUGAUGCAUGUUUUUACCUGACUUCUGAUCAUUUUAUAAACAAUUAAAAUAGUACAGCGGGACAGGACCUUAGAAAUUGUCAUUAUAUGUAUGGAGAGCCUGGAGCACAUUCCCAGGGUCUGCCAAGCAGUUUGUGCCAAAAGAAGGAUUAGGACCCAGAUCUCUGACAAUUAGACAAGGAUCCUUCACAGGACAUCUAUUUUCAUCCUGGUACACACACACACACCUGUACCAAUUUCAGGGGUAAAGUAUUUUGCAAGUGAUUUACUACUAAUAAGAGUGAAAAUACUGGAGUGAUUCUCUAUUACUGUUUUCUCACUGUAAAAAUUUCAAGCAUACAAUCAUAAUAAAGUUAUCUCUUUACUUCAAUCUCCUUUCUCAUCUCCAUAUGGAUAAAUAUGUGUAUCUGACUAUUAUAUUAAAGUAAUGAUAUAGUAGUACAUAUUGUUUUGCUGUUGGCUUUUCCCAAUUAAUAACACACUUUGGAUACUGUUCUGUGUCAGUGUCAAUAAAAUCUGUAAACAUAGAUAACAUUAUUUUAUUAUUUUACAAGGUGAAGAUGUCCUUAAUGAUAUUCAAUAUACUUUUCUACAUUUACAGACUAUGUACAUUUUGUAGAUAGAACUUUUUUAUUAAAAUUAACGUUAUUAACCAUUUAUUUAAAAUACUCACAAAUAUUUUUAUUCAAAAAUUAUCUUGAGUAGUAAGGUUAUUGAGAUGCACAAUAAAUGAGCUACGUACUGCUUAUGAGAGAUGGUAGGCCAUUCUUUCUGUGGAUCAUAAGAAAUAUUUUAAAUAAAUAAAUAGUUUGAAU
rnacentral:lncRNA from 1 species